AGUGAACGCUGGCGGUAGGCCUAACACAUGCAAGUCGAACGGCAGCACAGUAAGAGCUUGCUCUUACGGGUGGCGAGUGGCGGACGGGUGAGGAAUACAUCGGAAUCUACUUUUUCGUGGGGGAUAACGUAGGGAAACUUACGCUAAUACAGCAUACGACCUACGGGUGAAAGCAGGGGAUCUUCGGACCUGGCGGGUGUGGAUGGGCCGAUGGCUUAGUAGCUAGUUGGUGGGGUAAUGGCCCACCAAGGCGUCGAUGGGUAGCUGGUCUGAGAGGAGGACCGGCGACAGUGGGACUGAGAUACGGCCCAGACGCCUAUGGGAGGCAGCAGUGGGGAAUAUUGCACAAUGGGCGGAAGCCUGAUGCAGCAACGCCGCGUGCGGGAUGACGGCCUUCGGGUUGUAAACCGCUUUCGCCUGUGACGAAGCGUGAGUGACGGUAAUGGGUAAAGAAGCACCGGCUAACUACGUG
rnacentral:rRNA from 1 species